rnacentral:lncRNA from 1 species
UUACACUCGAACCCGAAGAAUAUAAACAUGUAAAAUGAUCAAGAUAUGCAUUGGGAGGUAGUGUACUUACACUCGAACCCGAAGAAUACAAAUAAGACUCUUAACAGGCCGAUUUUGUAAAACACCAAAUUUGAGAACGAAGUAGGAAUAUAAAAGUGAAACGAAUCAAAAGACUCGGAAUAUGAGUCAUGACUAAAAGAUGAUAAGAAUCUUCGCAAAUAUAAAUUUUGGUAAUUGCGUGAUGAAAAUUCACCUAAAAUGA